AUUGAACGCUGGCGGCAGGCCUAACACAUGCAAGUCGAAUGGUAACAGGAAACAGCUUGCUGUUUCGCUGACGAGUGGCGGACGGGUGAGUAAUGUCUGGGAAACUGCCUGAUGGAGGGGGAUAACUACUGGAAACGGUAGCUAAUACCGCAUAACGUCGCAAGAUCAAAGAGGGGGACCUUCGGGCCUCUUGCCAUCAGAUGUGCCCAGUUGGGAUUAGCUAGUAGGUGGGGUAACGGCUCACCUAGGCGACGAUCCCUAGCCGGUCUGAGAGGAUGACCAGCCACACUGGAACUGAGACACGGUCCAGACUCCUACGGGAGGCAGCAGUGGGGAAUAUUGCACAAUGGGCGCAAGCCUGAUGCAGCCAUGCCGCGUGUAUGAAGAAGGCCUUCGGGUUGUAAAGUACUUUCAGCGGGGAGGAAGGGAGUAAAGUUAAUACCUUUGCUCAUUGACGUUACCCGCAGAAGAAGCACCGGCUAACUCCGUG
rnacentral:rRNA from 1 species